rnacentral:rRNA from 1 species
UUGAGUUCAAGANGUACGUGAAACCGUGUGGGAGUAAACGGGUGGUUCCCGAAAGUACGAAAGGGGAGAUUCAGGUCUCGCCGCGCGUCGGGCGGCGUCUGCGAUUGGAGAUGGGGUUCACGCGGCCGGGGGGCAACCUCUGGUUUGCGGGGGGGCAACCUCUGGUUUGCGGGGGCUUCACUCCGCAGGCGUCUUCUUUCCCGGCGCCGGAGCGACGCACUUCUCCCCCCUGUAGAACGUCGCGACCCGUCGGUCGCCGGCCUAAGGCCCCGGGUGGAGCCUCGCAUCUCUCGGGACGCGUCAGCGAGACCCCGGGGAUCCCGGCCGGGUGAUCGACGGAAGGAAGAGAGGAAGGAGUCGACGCGCCGAAAUAUCGGCGUCCGGCCCUCCGCAAGCGCCCGCGGGAGUGUGGUUCCGGGCCUGGCCCGCUGCCGCGCCCUCCGCGGGGCUGUUUGCGAUGAUGGAGGUGUCCUCGGAC